UACAGAGGGGGCAAGCGUUGUUCGGAAUUACUGGGCGUAAAGGGCGCGUAGGCGGCCUGCUAAGUCGAACGUGAAAUCCCUGGGCUCAACCCAGGAACUGCGUCCGAUACUGGUUGGCUUGAAUCCGGGAGAGGGACGUGGAAUUCCAGGUGUAGCGGUGAAAUGCGUAGAUAUCUGGAGGAACACCGGUGGCGAAGGCGACGUCCUGGACCGGCAUUGACGCUGAGGCGCGAAAGCGAGGGGAGCAAGCGGG
rnacentral:rRNA from 1 species